rnacentral:rRNA from 1 species
UACGUAGGGCGCAAGCGUUGUCCGGAAUUAUUGGGCGUAAAGAGCUCGUAGGCGGCUUGUCACGUCGGUUGUGAAAGCCCGGGGCUUAACCCCGGGUCCUGCAGUCGAUACGGGCAGGCGUAGAGUGUGGUAGGGGAGAUCGGAAUUCCCGGUGUAGCGGUGAAAUGCGCAGAUAUCGGGAGGAACACCGGUGGCGAAGGCGGUCUCUGGGCCUGUUCUUGACGCUGA